AGUGAACGCUGGCGGUAGGCCUAACACAUGCAAGUCGAACGGCAGCACAGUAAGAGCUUGCUCUUACGGGUGGCGAGUGGCGGACGGGUGAGGAAUACAUCGGAAUCUACUUUUUCGUGGGGGAUAACGUAGGUAAACUUACGCUAAUACCGCAUACGACCUACGGGUGAAAGCAGGGAAUCUUCGGACCUUGCGCGAUUGAAUGAGGCGAUGUCGGAUUAGCUAGUUGGCGGGGUAAAGGCCCACCAAGGCGACGAUCCGUAGCUGGUCUGAGAGGAUGAUCAGCCACACUGGAACUGAGACACGGUCCAGACUCCUACGGGAGGCAGAAGUGGGGACUAGUGGAAAAUGGGCGCAAGCCUGAUCAAGCCAUACCGCCUGGGUGAAGAAGGCCUUCGGGUUGUAAAGCCGUUUUGUUGGGAAAGAAAAGCAGCAGGUUAAACGCCCCCUGUUCUGACGGUACCCAAAGAAUAAGCACCGGCUAACUUCGUG
rnacentral:rRNA from 1 species